CAGGAACAACUAGCUGUGGAGGAAAGCAGGAAAAGUCAACAGGAAAAGCUGAGGGGAAGAGACACAGCCUAGCUAGUCACUCUGCCUGUCCUGCUGAGCCUUUCCUGCAAUUUGGACUGGACCUACAUGCUCCUUUUGAUGGUACAGAGAAUGGCUGUGAUCACCGCAGAAGUGCCUGCACUGACAGGGCAAAAACAGAAAAAAGCACUCGUUUUAGACUUGGCUGACCAGAAAAUUUGGAAAAACCACACGGAGAAACCCCCUGAGCCAAGGCUCACCGCCGCUGCCACCGGCACCUAUUCGAGCACCCACGGGCCACCCCGCCGAGCGCCCGACUGGAAGCAGAAACGCGGCACCUACCUGGCAAACGUGGCCCUGGGAUGCUGAAGGUCAGGCCUCUCCUUCCUCUUCACACCUGGAUGCUCCUGCUGGGUUUCCCAGCCUUUUUAUACCUGCUUUCCUGCACUGGUACCCCCACUUCCAGGAGAGCUGACGAAUGGCUACCUGGAGUGCGUGGAAACGGGUUUGCCGUACAGGCAGCACUGUUAUCUGCAUUGGAUUUUUGAGUUUCUGGUUUCCAGGAUGAUCCCCUUUCUGCCCUCCCCCAGGUUUCUGUCCUUAGGCUGGCAGCAGGUCUCAGUGGUGCCCACAGCUGGACCUAAAGCAAAUCUCUCUGUGCCUCAGUUUCCCUAUCUUUACAGUGGAGAAAAUUCUCUCUCAACUUGUCUAUUUAGAUUGUGAGCCCUCCGGGUAAGGCCUUUAUGCUGUGAAUGUAUCAGCAGUUAAAUGAUGCUUGGGUCUUGAUUCUAUUUCUACUGUAAUAUGGACAGAUCACAAUAAUAACAAUGAUGCCACUGAAAUCAGCAUAAUGCAGAAUGAAGUUUGACCCACUGGCAUUGCAAAAGAAUUGAUUUAAGGUAAUAAAUCCCCUGGCAAGAUCGAGAGCAAAAUAUUAAAAUAAUAAAUAAAAUUGUACAUGCCAAACCUA